rnacentral:rRNA from 1 species
AGUGAACGCUGGCGGUAGGCCUAACACAUGCAAGUCGAACGGCAGCACAGUAAGAGCUUGCUCUUACGGGUGGCGAGUGGCGGACGGGUGAGGCAUACAUCGGAAUCUACUUUUUCGUGGGGGAUAACGUAGGGAAACUUACGCUAAUACCGCAUACGACCUACGGGUGAAAGCAGGGGAUCUUCGGACCUUGCGCGAUUGAAUGAGCCGAUGUCGGAUUAGCUAGUUGGCGGGGUAAAGGCCCACCAAGGCGACGAUCCGUAGCUGGUCUGAGAGGAUGAUCAGCCACACUGGAACUGAGACACGGUCCAGACUCCUACGGGAGGCAGCAGUGGGGAAUAUUGGACAAUGGGCGCAAGCCUGAUCCAGCCAUACCGCGUGGGUGAAGAAGGCCUUCGGGUUGUAAAGCCCUUUUGUUGGGAAAGAAAAGCAGCAGGUUAAUACCCCGCCGUUCUGACGGUACCCAAAGAAUAAGCACCGGCUAACUUCGUG